rnacentral:rRNA from 1 species
CCUACGGGUGGCAGCAGUGAGGAAUAUUGGUCAAUGGGCGGAAGCCUGAACCAGCCAAGUCGCGUGAGGGAUUAAGGCCCUGCGGGUCGUAAACCUCUUUUGCCGGGGAGCAGUGGUCCGGACGCGUCCGGACCGGGAGAGUACCCGGAGAAAAAGCAUCGGCUAACUCCGUGCCAGCAGCCGCGGUAAUACGGAGGAUGCGAGGGUUAUCCGGAUUUAUUGGGUUUAAAGGGUGCGCAGGCGGCCUGUUAAGUCAGCGGUAAAAGCCCGGGGCUCAACCCCGGCGAGCCGUUGAAACUGGCGGGCUGGAGUUGGAGAGAAGUACGCGGAAUGCGCGGUGUAGCGGUGAAAUGCUUAGAUAUCGCGCAGAACCCCGAUUGCGAAGGCAGCGUACCGGCUCCACACUGACGCUGAGGCACGAAAGUGUGGGUAUCGAACAGGAUUAGAUACCCUAGUAGUC